GUAAGAGAGAUAAUCGGACACUAGAUUUUCUUUUUCUGUUUUAACCAAAAAACUCUGUGACAUGCAUUUGUUGUUUGCACCCUCAUGUGAGUCCUGAAGCGGGCAUGCUCACAGGGACUGCCAUUGCAGCUGUCCCUGGGGUGGAACCUGAGGGCUUCUGGAGGCUCAGUUCUUCACAGACAGGACCACACGGGUGCCAUGGACCACAGGGGCAGAGCAUUGUAAUUUGCAAAAGCACCCAUUGCUCAUGACGGGACAGGCUCUUGGAGUAACUGUAACUGGUUUCCUCAUACCCAGUUCCUCCCAGCUCCUGGGAAAUCCCAGCUCCUCCACCUGGCCACCAGCCUCCAAACCCUGCCUUCCCCUGACCUUCCUGUGUAAGGACGGCCAAUGCCUCCCCGUACGUGCAGGGUAGAGUCUGAGCUUUCUCCAUUCCUGGGAGGCCCCAGCCCUGCUCUCCAGCUUACUCCUCCCAAGGUCGCCUCUUUGGGUCAAGCCACAGUCAGCUUUUUUCAGCUGUAGCACACCUAUGUCUCUGUACCUUUGCCCAUGUUGUUCCUUCUGUAGGGAGUUCCUUUUCCUUCUCCUCAGCCCAGUGAGCUCCUAUUC
rnacentral:lncRNA from 1 species